GUUUAACGGCCGCGGUAUUUUGACCGUGCAAAGGUAGCGCAAUCACUUGUCUUUUAAAUAAAGACCUGUAUGAAUGGCAUAACGAGGGCUAAACUGUCUCCUUACCCCAGUUAAUGAAAUUGAUCUUCCCGUGCAGAAGCGGGAAUUAACCCAUAAGACGAGAAGACCCUGUGGAGCUUCAGGCAAUAGAUGAAUUUAUUAAACAAUUAACACCAUAUAAAAGGUAAUUAAAACAAUAACCUCAUCCUAAGUCUUUAGUUGGGGCGACCGCGGAACAAAACAAAACCUCCGUGAGGAAUGAGGUAAAAACCUUAUACCCAAGAAUGUCAUUUCUAAGUACCAAAAUAUUUGACCCAUAGAUCCGGCAACAGCCGAUCAACGAACCUAGUUACCCCAGGGAUAACAGCGCAAUUCUCUUUGAGAGUCCCUAUCGACAAGAGAGUUUACGACCUCGAUGUUGGAUCAGGACAUCCUAAUGGUGUAG
rnacentral:rRNA from 1 species